rnacentral:lncRNA from 1 species
UUCAAGUUUUUUUCAGUAUUAAAGUUCAUUUUUUUUUUUUUCCCUUCUGAUUUUUAUUGAUGAAACUGAAAAAACAUACAAGAUGAAAUCCAAAUGCCAGCGGAUACGACUUAAAAUCCCUGGAAACAUAGCCCACAACAGGGGAUCACAAACCCAAACAACGGGUGACAUACAACAACUACUAAGAUCACUAGAUUAAUCUUCACUCUUACAUCCAAACCCGUGAACAAUCCUUGGUAGUGAGAAUAGAGAUGAUACCUAUUGGCUUUGAUCAGCCGGAUCUCUUCCAAGAGCCAGACAAGAGAGAGUAAGCGAUGCAAUGGCCUUCACAACAACGAAACCAGACCAAACUUACAUGAACCUUCAGUUCCAUGAACCAAGCCAGAACCACAAUGUCUAACACCAAAACCCAACUCGAGAAGCAAACAAACGCCUUACAGUAAAGCUCCCUUCUCAACUGAACUUUCAUCGGAAAAUCUAAAGGCCUCAACCUCUUUAUAAUGCUUCAAACAACAGAAGCCACCGAGGACGAGAGAGGCAAAUGACAAUCCGGUAGACACACUUAUUCAAAGGACAGGAGAAGAGCUCAUAACAGAGAGAUGGAGGCGACCAGAACCAAGAAUCUUCUCUUCUCAAAGGUGUUAGACCUGCUCUGCUCACCACACACCACUACACCGUCAACACAUGACCGCACCAUCAACACACCACCGCUUAAACCGUUGCUGAAACAAAAACCAAGAGGACAAACACUAAAACCCAACAAGAACGCCUUAGAUUUUCAACCUCUCUGACAAGGAACAUACGACAGAUGGGAUAAAAGAUGAAGCACAAGCCAAGACGAAGCAAACGAACAAGGCUGCCACAAAACAUGACCAUCUGCACCAGAAAUCUAAAAGGGAAACAACUCAAGAUCUGUAGAUCUAACAGAUUCAAACCCCAAAAUUUCUAGAUCUGUUAACAGACAAAGAGGAGAUGAUGAGAGAGGUGAAGAGAAAACGAAAUACAGGAGGACGAGUCACUCCGGUAGCGGCGAGGAGCGCCCACCACCGGAGAAAGCAACGAAAGGCUGGCGGCUGUUUUCUCUGUUCUUAGGGCUUCCUUUUGAUUCAGUAUUAAAGUUCAUAUAUUCCGUUUUUUUUUAAAGUUUCGAUGUUAUUAACGUAAUAUUACAAAUAAAUAACUGAAUAGAAAAUGUAAACAAUGAAAGUUCGAGAGAACCCUACUCCAUAAAACUCCUCUCUCUCUACUCUCUCUCUUCCUCUCGUUCAGAUUCUCCGCUGCGCACGAAACCUAAAAAGAAAUCUCUCACAACCCCCAAACCCCUCUCCCGAUCUCCAGGUACGCUUCCUCUCCUCUCCUCUAACCCUUUAGCUUCAGAUCAGAUCUCUUAGAUCUGAAUCUCGUAUCUUAUGAUUUAGCUUCUCUUCUCAAUAGGUUUUAAAGUUUCAAACUUUAAUGUGUGUGUUAUCAGGGUUUCGAACAAGACCGAAUCUUUGAGAAUGAGUGUGGUCGGGUUCGACUUCGGGAACGAGAACUGUCUUGUGGCCGUCGCAAGGCAAAGAGGCAUCGACGUCGUCCUCAACGAUGAGUCAAACCGCGAGACUCCCGCCAUUGUCUGCUUCGGCGAGAAGCAGCGUUUCAUCGGAACCGCUGGAGCUGCCUCCACCAUGAUGAACCCCAAGAACUCAAUCUCCCAGAUCAAGCGUCUGGUGGGUCGUCAGUUCUCGGAUCCUGAGCUCCAGAGAGACAUCAAGUCUCUUCCUUUCUCCGUCACGGAGGGACCAGACGGGUACCCUUUGAUCCACGCUUCUUACUUGGGAGAGAAGAGAGCGUUUACUCCCACUCAGGUUAUGGGGAUGAUGUUGUCUAACUUGAAAGGUAUUGCUGAGAAGAAUCUGAACGCAGCUGUGGUGGACUGCUGCAUUGGUAUUCCUGUUUACUUCACUGACCUGCAGCGGAGAGCUGUUCUUGAUGCUGCAACGAUCGCUGGCUUGCACCCUUUGCAUUUGAUCCACGAGACCACGGCGACUGCUUUGGCGUAUGGUAUCUACAAGACGGAUUUGCCGGAGAGUGAGCCGCUUAAUGUGGCCUUCAUCGACAUUGGUCAUGCGAGCAUGCAAGUCUGCAUCGCAGGGUUUAAGAAAGGGCAGCUCAAGGUCUUGUCUCACGGGUUUGACCGGUCUCUUGGAGGAAGGGACUUUGAUGAAGUUCUGUUUAAUCAUUUUGCCGCCAAGUUCAGGGAGGAGUACAAGAUUGACGUCUCGCAGAAUGCCAAGGCUAGUCUUAGGCUCAGGGCUGCGUGUGAGAAGCUGAAGAAGGUUCUGAGCGCUAACCCUGUGGCGCCGUUGAAUAUUGAGUGUUUGAUGGAUGAGAAAGAUGUUAGGGGUGUUAUCAAGAGGGAAGAGUUUGAAGAGAUCAGCGUCCCUAUCUUGGAGCGUGUCAAGAGGCCUCUGGAGAAAGCUCUCUCUGACGCGGGGCUCGCAAUUGAAGAUGUACAUAUGGUUGAGGUUGUUGGCUCUGGCUCUCGUGUCCCUGCUAUUAUCAAGAUCCUGACUGAGUUUUUCGGUAAGGAGCCGAGGCGUACAAUGAAUGCUAGUGAGUGUGUGUCGAGAGGAUGUGCCUUGCAGUGUGCCAUUCUUAGUCCCACCUUCAAAGUCCGUGAGUUCCAGGUAAUGGAUGCUUAUCUCUGCUUAAACAUGUGUGUUUAUCGCCUAGUAUAGUACUAACAAGUCAUGUUAUUAAUUGUGAUAAAGGUUCAUGAGAGUUUCCCCUUCUCCAUUUCGCUGGCGUGGAAAGGAGCAGCGGCUGAUGCUCAAAAUGGAGGAGCUGAGAAUCAGCAGAGCACCAUUGUUUUCCCCAAGGGAAACUCAAUUCCUAGUGUCAAGGCUCUGACGUUUUACCGCUCUGGAACAUUCUCUGUCGAUGUGCAGUACAGUGAUGCCACUGACUUGCAAGCACCUCCAAAAAUCAGUACUUACACGGUUUGAUCCUUUGCCCAAUGUCGUGUGUAUCAUUAAAGACUGUAGCGUGCUCUUGUUUCUCAUUGUUGUUCUCCUUUUUUGCAGAUUGGUCCCUUCCAGUCAUCAAAAGGCGAGAGGGCAAAGCUUAAGGUGAAAGUGAGAUUGACCCUUCACGGAAUUGUCUCUGUUGAAUCAGCAACUGUAAGUUUGUGUUGUUAUCAUCCAACUGAUCAUUCAUUCAAUGCGAACUUGAGAUCGUUUAGUUUAUGCUAAUUUUUUUUUCCUCUCCUUCGUUGCAGCUUUUGGAAGAGGAAGAAGUUGAAGUUAAGGUCACAACAGAGCAGAUGGACACUGACAAAGCCUCUGGUGAAUCUGAUGUUAACAUGCAAGACGCCAAGGAAACCAGUGAUGCAGCUGGUACUGACAACGGUGUUCCUGAGCCGGUGCAAAUGGAAACUGAUUCAAAGGUUAGUUUUCUCUACUGAGCUGAUGGUCCUUGCUAUUUUCUUUCACUCGUGAACUUGAAAUUUAAUCAAAUGGGUAUGGUGUAUGUGCAGGCUGAGGCUCCAAAGAAGAAGGUGAAGAAAACAAACGUACCUCUGUCAGAAUUGGUAUACGGCGCCUUGCAAUCUGUGGAGGUCCAAAAGGCUGUGGAGAAAGAAUAUGAGAUGGCUCUCCAAGACAGAGUUAUGGAGGAGACCAAGGACAAGAAGAAUGCUGUUGAGUCCUAUGUUUAUGAUAUGAGAAACAAAGUAAGUAAACCCUUUUCUUCUCUCUUUUUUUAAUAUGCAUCGAGAGUAUGUAUUUAUAAGGGGUGGCUACUUGCUGUGUUUUUGUAUUUUCAGCUGAGUGACAAAUACCAUGAGUACAUUAUCGAGUCAGAGAGAGAAGCGUUCCUGGCGAAGCUGCAGGAAGUGGAGGAUUGGUUGUAUGAAGAUGGAGAAGAUGAGACUAAAGGUGUCUAUGUUGCAAAGCUCGAGGAGCUCAAGAAGGUAAUAUACACAUAUGAUAGAUUGGCUAUUUUACUUGAAUAGAAAAAUGAUUUUAACAGAGCUUGGUGAUUGGACUUUGAUUGUUAGGUGGGUGACCCAGUUGAGAUGCGUUACAAGGAGUCACAGGAGAGAGGGACAGUCAUUGGUCAGCUUGGUCACUGUGUUAACAGCUACAGAGAGGCAGCGGUCUCUAAUGAUUCCAAGUUUGACCACAUUGAACUAGAAGAUAAGCAAAAGGUAUAAUAACUACAAGAGCUCUGAGAUAUUUCAUGAUUAUUUUUUUUGCAUAAGAAUGUGGAGAUGUGUGUGUUUUAAUCAUCUAUUGUUGUGGAAUGCAAAUGAAGGUAUUGAACGAGUGUGUGGAAGCAGAAGCAUGGAUGAGGGAGAAGCAGCAGCAGCAGGAGGCGCUUCCCAAGUACGCAACACCAGCUUUCUUGUCAGCUGAUGUUACAAGGAAGGCUGAGGCAUUGGACAAGUAAAGCAAUAGCUUCUUCUUACUUUGUUGUUUCUCUUGUUAGUAGGAAAGUGACUGAACCAUCUUUUUGGAUUUUGUUUUGGCAGGUUCUGCAGGCCUAUAAUGACCAAACCAAAGCCGGUUGCCAAACCGGAAGCACCGCCGGCCAAGGCGGCGGCUGAUGAGGAGAAGAGUGAGCCACAGCCAGAACCGGCCUCUGGUGAAGAACCAAUGGAGACUGAGAAGCCCACCGAAGAUAGUGCCUAAGAGAUGAUGGUUGGUGCUGUGUAUCGAUUUUGUUUUUGUUUUCGCUACCCCAAAAGAAUCUAUAUUCAAACUCCUUUCAGGAAGUAUUGUUUUCCCUUUGUGUUUUUCUUCUUUAUAAACUAUUUAUCGUGUGUGAGAUGAGGAUUUGUUCUACUUGUUACAUGUUUCUGAGCAGGUUUUUUAAGCAAGAAAUAUGCAUAUUUUGCAAUUUGUAUCAACAGAUUUAUUUUUAAGACAACGAAUAAAAAUAAAUACGCAUAGAACGACACACAGUUGACUGUUCCAAAAAAAGCGAGUGGAAGAAGAGAACCUGAUCUUGUAUUCUCUGCUUAGCUUCACUGCCACACAAACUCAAAGCUGUUUCCCUCUUCGUCUUCCUCCAUAUGCAUUGCUCUUAAAAAAACAUGUUCCUCUAUCUAUUCACCAUGGUCGUCGUUCACAACGCCGGCUUCAGUUCUCCGGUAAGUAUCCGCUAUGACCAUGCUUUAUAUAUUUCAUAGUUUCAUAUGAGCUUUUGCUUUUUUUUGCUGAAACUAACAACAAAAAAUCUUAUCUUUUUGAAGCUUCAUAACAGAACCAAUCCUAUUGUAAGAUUGUCAACUCAAGCUACACCGUUAAAGCCUUGUCCUUUCACGUUCCACAUCUCUCUAAACAGUUCAACAAGUUUGUCAUUUUCAGGCAAAACAAGACUGGUUUUGUCUCGUUCAGAGACAAAUGACAAUUCCAUCACAACAACAUCGGUCGAUGAUCCUCCAAGUGAACCAGUUGAACCAAGCAACAACGGUUCUGCAAAAAGAGCACCGUUGACAGCAAGAGAAAGACUCAGCCGAUACACCGAAGCAACACCUAAACCAUCAAAACCCAAAAUGGGGAGCCAAAUCUUGGAGGUGCUCAAAGAAAGUGACAAGAAAUCGAAUAGGAAGCCGGGUCUACCCGAAGCACCAACCAACAUGCUUGAUGAUAGCAAGAGAGGUAUGCCAAAGAAAGGGCUUACAUUUGAUCUACCCAGAAGUGCGGAUAUACUAGUCAUUGCUUUUUCAUUUGUGUUCAUAAGUACAGUGAUGUUUGCUACUACUUUUGUUGUCUGGAAACUCAGUGCCAUUCACUUCAAUGAAAACUAAAGAUCCAUCAAACAGUGAGUGAGAGCUGUAGUUGAAAUGCAUACUGUGUAGUAAUAGUACACAUAGUUUUGGUGUUACAACAUCUUGUCAUGCUUUAUUUUCAGUUUUAACCAUUACAUUAUGAUGUCUUUUAUUAAAAGAGCUAUGGAAGUAGAUUGAUUAUACCCCCAACCAAGAAAGGGCUAAUGUAUCCAGUUAUAGAAUGGUGAAACGAGUUUGUUUUAAUUUACAAAGGGGAGCAAGAUUUACAGCAAGGACAGACACUACCUACUUUUGAUUUGUCUGCAUCAGAUGGAACUUUCUACUUUGGGAGGCUUAUAGCUCCAAUUAAUGACUGGAUGGAGUUAUUUAUGUGAAACAUGUACUUGUUCAAGAUGAAUGUGAGAUCCAUUAAGCUAGUAGUUCCAAACCAGCUUCUUGUCUUCACUAGAAGUGUGUAUAUUUAAAAAUGGAUUAGCUUGGACUGGUAAAUUUGAUUAGUUGUACUCAAAAUGUGAUAUUCUUCUAAUUACCCCUUCUUUUAUUUAUAAUAUUGCUUAUAUAUAAAAUAAAACUAUUUAUUAAAAUCAUUGUUCUAAAAAUCAGUUUAGGUGUCAAAUUGAUCAUAGUCGAAACAAUUUUCUUAAAAUCCGAUGUAAGCCGUUCAAAUCGGUUUAUGCUCUCCUAAAUUAGUUAGAAACAGUCUAAGUUGGUCUAAUUUGAUCUAAAUUGAUGUAAACUGGUUAAAUCAAGUAACAAUGUUAAUGUAAAUCCACAAAUUUGUUUGAUUUCAUUUUUUGUAUAUCUAAUUUUAAAAAUUCAUCAAAAAUUUUAUAAUUAAACCUAAAAAGUUAACAUACCUAAUAUAAAUAUAUAAUAAAUAAACAUUGGUUAAAAAUAUACAUAGUCUUCUCGGUUUCACAUGAAGAAAGUGAUAAAUCAUGGAAAAGUUGGUUAUAUAAAAAUAAAAAAUAAUGAAUUCAAUGUUAAUUUUUAUAUUAAUUACUAAUUGAACAUCAUGCAUACAAAAAAGAGUGUAGUGUACUACCGUGAUCUCGAAUUCUUUUACCAGAAUUUUUGAGUCGUUAUAUAAACUACCAAAGAUUUAUACAUACAUAUAGGCCUAAAGAGUAGCAACGAGCUCCAAAGAGUCUCAGAAACCUCACACAAACUUCAUAUUCACAAUACUUACAGAUUCGUUAUGAAGCAACGUACUACUACUACUACUACUACUCCUCUUAUCACGUAGUGGACAGCACUUCAAGCUCUGCCCACCAAAGAGGUGAAAGUUUCGGAAUAGCAUCGUCCGGUGACAAUCCUGUGAUCUCUCGUAACCUCCCUGUCACUUCCAUCAUUGUCGGUCUCUCUUUCGAGUCUUCCCUUACACAGUUUCUGAUCACUUCGCCUAUGUUAUCAACCUUCUCAUCAAAACAUUCCAGUGUCGGAUCCACCAUCUCCUUAAGAGUCUUGCCUCUCAAGAAAUCAUCAAAACUGGUAUCUACCGAGUCACCUUUUUUAACAGACUCUGGUAGUUUUCCGGUUAUCAACUCGAACAACAGCAAACCGAAGCUGUAUACAUUGUCUUCUUUAGUUGUGACUGAGAUCAUGCGAGUGUCUAUGAGUGCAUUGGUGCUGGUCUCUCUCUCUGAUGGGCCUUUUAGGUAACCAAAAUUGAAAUCUGCUAUUUUGACUGCGUAAUCCUCAGUGAGGUGAAGUGCUGAUGAGAGAAGAUUGCUAUGGACUACAGGUGGAUUGAGACCGUGCAUGUGGUCAAGGCAAUAUGCUACACCCAUAGCUAUUCUUAUCCUCAUUAACCAGUCCAAAUGUUCUGACUCUUUAUCUGUAAAAGAAAAUCCUUAAGUAAAUGACACAACUAAUAUGAGUAAAUAAAUAUUUUUUUGUUGCUUACAGUGUAAAUGUUCAAAGACUGAUCCGUUUGAUGCAUAUUCAAAGACCAAGAUCCUAGUGAAAGGUUCAUCUUCUUCACAGUAACCAAGAAGGUUGACAAAGUUCUUGUGGUUUAUCUUAGAUAACAUUUCAAUCUGAAAUGAUCAUAACAUAAAAGGAUUAAGACAAUGGAAAUUAAAAAACCUUUUAGAUAAUUGAAGGUGAACUAGUUGACGGUAGAUACCUUCUUUCUGAACUGCAUUUCUAUGUUAUUAGUCCACUCUUUGGUAGAAGCAGUAGCAACAGAAGCCACAGCUAUCUCCACCCCACUUGAUAGUGUCCCUUUGAACAAUGUACCAAUGGGACAUGACCCAAUGACAUUACUGAACUCUUCACAAGCAGCUUCUAUCUCAGAUCUUUUCAGUUUUGGGACACCUGAGUAAGACAAUCAUACAACAUUAGUGUUCAAAAGAGUUAAAAAAAUGUUAAUUAACAUAGUGGAAAUUAAGUUACCAGUUAUGAACACUUUCUGAAGUUGUCCACUAAGACCUGUACGCCAAGGAUUAACAGAUUUGCCAGCCUUGCUUUUGAAAAAGAAGACACCAGUAGCUAAAAGAAGAAGGAGAACACCGCCUGUGCAGCCAACAACAAUAGGAGCUAUGCUGUUUGAAGAACUUCUUCUUAGAGUAUGAAUAUUUGGCAAGGCCACAGAAGGAGGUGGAGCAGAAGAAACAUGCAGGGCGGGUGGACUUUUCUGUGGCGGGUGCAAUGCUGAGGAUCUACUGGUCUUACUUCUGUGAGAAGGAACCACCGAAGAUGACGGCGGUGUAGCAGAUGCAACAGGGCGGUGGUCUUUGUAAGAAUUCAAAUGCGUGUAAGGGUUACGGAAACGACCUAGUAAUUUCCUGUGAAAACUAACAGCCCCCCUACGAAAAGAAAAGUUCAAAGGUCAAAUGAAAAUGAAUACAAGACAGAGGAAUGAACAUGUAGCAAGUCUUGUAAUAGAAAUAAUUAUGGAGACGGUGUUUCAUUUAAGCAAUCAAAAUUUAAUAAAUACAAUAUUUUGUUUUUCAAAAUGUAAAAUUGAUCAUGAUUUUUUUUUGAACACAUACAAUUGAUCAUGAUUAUCUAAUAAAAAGAUUAAAAAUAUAAAAUGUAUUUUCCAAACAAUUUUUUUAAAACAUAAAUCAUUUUGAAAUGGAAGAAAUGUUUCGGAAGAGUUAUGAACGAGGAACUAAAUGAUCAAUACAUAUAUUUUUCUUAACUAAUAUUUAGGCCGAAAAGUGUAUAUAUACUAGGCUAAUGUCUCAUCUGGCUAUGCAAGUCCUAGAUCUACCAUACCAACUACAUUGAUGUUGAUACUCAACCAAAAAAACAUUUUCAACUAUAUUAAAGUAAAAAGCGAUCACAGAAGAAGCUGAUACUUACAAAUCUGCUGCAUCUCUAUCAUCCUGUAGAUUUUUUGUCACCGCUAAACAUUCAGUUUCCAACGUCUCGAAGCUCAAAAUUACCAGAAACAUCAUGAGAGUACGCAUUUGGAGCCUUAACCGUACGGGUUUCCAGUUCUUACUCAUCGUGAAGACGACAAGUGGAAAUAGGAUUUAAGCAACACCGAAGGAAGCUGAUAAAAAUCGAAGCUCGGAUCUGAAACUGAGUAUAAGAUGAGAGAAAGACCUGAAAAAAGUAAGCUAGCUAGAAGACGAAUAGAGAAAGAGAGAGAGAGUUUGAGUUUUGAGUUCGCGUGGCUUUGUGAGAGCAGCAGCAUCAUGACUUUUCAACUUUAUUUACAAAAUUAAAUUGUUUUUAAAGCGCGUGUCCCCUUGGUUUCGCCCAUAAUAAAUUAAGGAAAAAAAACGCAAUAACUUCUUUAAAAAAUAUUAUAUUCAACGAUAAGAGAGAAUAGGAUCAACAGUUAUCGCUGUAAAAAACAAUGCGAUAAUUUUGAAUUUGUGUAAAAAAAUUAAAACAACGUGUAGAAUUGACCGGUGCAUUGCUUUAUUAAAAAAAGAGAAGAAUCUAUGGGAUAAAAGAUGCCAGAGAGCAAAAAGGAUUCAAAAGAAGACCAUCACCGUCGAUAAAGACUUCUGCGUAGCCUGUCGACAUGUCUCGCUUUUAUUUUGUGUGCUGUUUAACGUGAAUUAUGGUGGGGUUUAUGUAUGCCACGUGGUUUUUUGUUUUUGAUGUUGGAUGAUUGAAGUUGAAUAAUUGAUUGAUUGUGUUAUGGUCUUUGCGGAUUAACAAAAUUAUUUGAAAAUUUAUACAAAAAUAGUACGUGGAGUUGCUUGACUAGUUCAAACUUCAACGUGGAGGUUACUUUCUUCGUUUUCAUUCCAGCUUCUUUGCCAUGUGGGUGUAAUAGUCAUGGAUGUUGUGGGAAAUGGGAAUACCCCAUUUUCCUUAAUUUGUUUUGUAAAUUAUUCUCUUUUAUUUCUCAAUUUUUUUGCAGAUUUUCUAAUAUACAAAACAGUGUAUAGAAAUGUUCCAUAAUAAGACUAAGAGCACCAAUAUGAAAUAAGUAACUGAGAAACUUUCUCUCCCAGGCACACAUAUCGAAGCACCCUCAUCCGCCAUGGAUUCCGACGCCGGCAGCUCCUUAGCUCGCCGGCGUCACCGUCUCUCACCUCCGUUUUUCUUCUUUAGCUCGUUUCUUGUUUCUAUCGUUUUUUUUCUCCAUGUUUUUCUCUUAUACUUGGGUUUCAUUAGCUCUUCUUUUGCCAAAAGCUGUGCAAGUUGUCGUACAUGCCAUAUCCAAGCCAGUUGGCUCCUGUUGCUCAUUUCCAGUCCAACUCCGGCCACCACAGCUACGGUAGUUUCAGAUCUGACUUUUGAUGGUUGUGUUUGUAAUGCUCUAUCCAGUUCGCCGAAAAUUGCCGCACAGCCAGAUCUGCAUCUCUCUUCGUCCCUUUGGGCGAUGACCUCUCUCCCUACGGGGAAGACCUAUUUUAGCUUGCCUCGCCGUGAACUAAGCUUCCUCGCCGGUGUUCUCUGUCGUUCAUUCACUAGAUCUACAAGCACAUGUUGCUAUGAGUUUUAUACUUCAACCUCUGUGGCGAAUCGAACCUUGCCGGAAGACCCGAAGACCAAUCCCCUGUCACGGCCAUUACUUUCCACAGCAACAGAGUCCGGUGUUUGCUCUUACUCUCUUAGCAAGACAGAUUCAGGUAACAAGCGGUGUAACGAUGGUUUCACAAAUGCUCUCUGGCCCCGAUACGGUAAUAUUGGGAUCUGGAGUUGCUUCUUGGCCAAAGAUUCCGUCUUUCCGCCAAAUCCUGUUAAGCACCUUUGCUUUUACGCCGGUCUGAAGGUGGCUCGAGCUACGUCGUCAGAUUCAUCUAUUAUCAACCGUCAUUUGGUGAGCGAGACUCUAUAUCCAAUUGCUCUCUCCCACAUGUCUCCAUGGUGUCGACCAAAGCUAGCUAUUUCGAUUUCAAGAGUAUGUUCAGUAUCAUCUCCAAAUUUGAGACUCCUAAAGCUCCAAUCAUGCAGUCCUCUUAAAUUAUCCUUUGCGGAUAAAUUUAUCAAAUCUUCCUCUCGACAGGACCGAGAGAGAUCCUUAUCCACCUCCUCCUUUUUAGAGGAGAGAACUUUUCCACCACCCCUUCUCUCCAUGAGAGAUUGUUAUAUCCCGAUUGCAAAAUCGGAAAAGCUUUUCAACUCCUUCACCGUUUUGCUAUCUCGUGUAGAUGCAACCAGACUUGUCUUUGUGAUGUAUUCUGGAGGUAAGGGUUGGUUUUCAACGUCACAAUGUAAAGUGACUAUGACUUAUGAAUCCGGUUUUACCGUGAAUCUCCCGACGCAUUUGAGCAGUGUCUCAUUUCCGCUGUCAAUCUCUUCGGAGAAGCUAUCUGAUUUAACUUCUGUUGUUUUUAAGUUUCAUUGUUGUAAUCAAAGAGGAUGGAUAAUUCCCUCUAGCUAUUGUAUGUUUGAAGUUUAAGAUAAUGAAAUGAAAGGUUGCACAAAAAAAAAGAAAUGUUCCAUAAUUGUUAUCAAAGCCGCCCACGUUUUAUUGAUAUUUAUCCAAGUUAGAUAAAUUAUUUUCAUGGCCCACACAGAUAUCUAUAUAAGUAUAUAUAUAUAUAUAUAUCUGUGAUUCUUAUGUUUAAUCACUUGCUGUUGUUUUCUUGGAGUUUAUAGCUUAACACGAACCAAUUGAUUAAUCAGCUUCUAUGGAAAAAAGAAGUCCGGUUCAUGAUAGAACCAAUAUGCUUAUAUGCAUGUAUUCAUGAAUAGGCACUUAGGCAGUACUCUACCAUAUUCACUAUUUUUCACCCUACCAUAUUCAUAUCAAUUAAUACGCAUAGAUUCAUGCAAAUAACUACCACAUUCAUCAAUUUAUUUAUGCAAAGCCAAACUGAUCAGUGUUCACACCGCCCAUAUUUUCUAAUGUUUAUCAAAGUUAAACGCACAUUCUGUCCACGAUCUAUCGUGUGUGAAACUUGUUCUAAUGAUCAAUUUUCUAAUUAAUCAAAAUUUAUUAAGAAAUUUUAUAUUUGAGGAAAAGAAAUCCAAAUAUUGACAUUGGUAGCCAAUAUAUACAUAUGUGAAAAUAUUCUGUUCCACUGGAUUAAACGAUGAAUAUUUCUAUAUUUCUAUCUCACCUAAUUUAGGUUUUUAUAUUUAAGCUUUCAAAUCUAAAUUAAGGUAUAAAUUUAUUUCAAGUUUCAUAUUAAUUCAGUACAGAAUAGUUAAACUAAUUUAUUUGGUCAGUCAAAAUAAGACUCCAAAUGUAAUGAUUGUGAUAAAAUAUGACGUCCAUCUACUAUAAGAGUAUAUAAGAAAUUAACGACUAGAUAAAUAAAACCAUAGUUUUCGAAAUGAGUUUUAGGAUAAUAGUAUAUACGGUUGACCUAACGGUUACGCCGUAAUCUUAAAGCCAUCGGGUUUGAUUGGAUGAAGAGAACGACCAAAUCAUUAUACUAUUUAUUAUGUUUUGCAAAUACACCGCAAUGUCCUGGCAUAACGUAAUCUAACUUCAUCCUUACGUAAUUAUGCUGUCUUUGCGUUCACACGUUGACCUAAUUCGUUAUUUACUUUGACCUCUAUACUGAUUAAAUAUAUUUUGUUUUGUUUAAAUCUUUAAACCAAGAAUGCAUGUUACUUUCAUGUGAGUAUUGCUUAAAGAAACUGACAGUCUUGCGGGCACAAUACCUUGCCCCCACCAUAAAGGUGAUCUAACAUGACCGGAUUCACCACAUGGGCUGCAAGAUGGGCCACGGGCCUACAGUACAACACUCAGCAUCAAUAAUUGUAAGCUUGCGUUGGCUGGACCGGCUGUUGAUAAGAUCACCUCAUCUUGCAACGCUAGAUCAGCUGUAUGGAACACUCUCAUUCUCAUAUGAUCACUUGUGGCUUGGAUUCCCUGUAAGAAAAUAGCAUUUUCAUAUCCAAACGAUAUAUAAAAAAUGUGGAUGAAACGAUAAUGUUCAGCGACGUAUAAGCUGCAAUAGAUGACAGUAACCAAACCAUCAAUCAUAAAUUAUAUACUCAUAUCUAAAGUCUUACAAAUGUACACGUUUGACUACAAAGUUACAUACAUAACUAGAAACCAAGUACACGGAAUAAUCCAUCAUAAAUUACAAAACUCGACAAACACAACAUGGAAGUAUUUAUAUAUAAAAUAAAUAACUUAAAAAGGAUCAAUCACUUCUUCACAACAAAAAUGACCAGCACCGUGUUUGAGGUUUCCGAGCUUUCAGCCUUGAGCUCACCACAGUCAUCCAUUACACUGUUUCAGAGUAGUUCCCCUCUCAGAUCCAGCAUUAUCCAUUGCCUUCACCACACUGUACCCCAUCCACAACUUUCCCAAAAAACACAUGUUCCCCAUCAAGCCACAAUGUAUUCUCCUUACAAAUAAAGAACUGAGAACUAUUCGUGUUUGGGACCUGCAUUGGCCAUAGACAAUACCCCUGGACCCGUACGCUUCAACUUAAAGUUAUCCUCCUGAAACUUAGUCCCAUAUAUCGAUUCUCCACCAGUUCCAUUCCCACAUGUGAAGUCUCCACCUUGGAGACAUGAAUCCUGGGAUUAAAAGGUGAAAGGCUGAGCCUUUGUAGUGUAAUGCCUUCCCUGCUUUCGCAACUCCCUUCUCCCCAUCAUAACACGUCCUAAUCCGAAACAAUAUGUCUUAUGAUUAAGCGACUCAAUGUAAGAAACUAAGACAUGGAUCAAUACAUAAUGCUUUGUUAUAUCCAGAACAGAUCCAUCAACCAUAUGUCCUAAACAGUUCAAAGAACAAAGUUCUUACUAUUUGUCUGAUUCAGUGGAAAAAUAACUAGCGAUUCAAAAACUAAGAAAUGUCCCAUUCAUUAGAAUUGUCGAUAAGAAAAGAGAGAUUCUUAUAACACAGAGAUAUUUUAAAAUCUCAAUGGAUGGUUUUAGGGUUUCGCACAAAUAUUGAGCUCGCAGGCGUUUUAGAUUAGACGUUAUCUGCAAGCCUUCGAUAUGUGCUUUUACGAAAACGCAAAUUAAAUUAAUGGAAGAACCAUCUUAUCAAACUGAAGUGAAAUAGAAUCAAGAACAUUAACUGGGUUCAUCGAAAGGUAAUACCUUUUGCAGAUUCUCAGGGUUUAGCUUCAAUGAUGCGAGCGAACGGUUAUAUAACGGCUUGGCUCAAGGUUUCUGUAAGCUAGGGUUUUUACCAGGAAGAUGGAGACAGAGACUUGUGUGUGUUUCCCGGUUUUGUCCUAAUGGGCUCAAUUGAAAAGCCCAUAAUAUGAUUCAGGCCAUUUAUCGAAACUACAGUCAUUUCCGUAAUUGUUAGUAAUAUAUUCAGAUUUACUCUUUUCUAUUUUUUUUUUUUUGUCAAACACAACAAAAAACUAAUGAUUAAAAUUUGAUUCAAUAUGCUGAAAUAUUAUAUUUAGAACAUUAUCAAAAUUGUUUCGAGUCAAUUUGAUUCCCUAGGCUAUACUUUUAGUCAAAAAUCUGAAAAUUCGUACAAAAAGAACCAUUGAACAACUUCUAAUCAUAGUUCCUUGAAUCCUUGUUAUAGUGAUGAUGAAUGUUUGUGCGUUACGGACGCCACGAUGACUUCAAACCAACUAGGAACUUGCCUUUGUACACAUUCGUUGACCACCGUAGAGAUAAAAGAAUAGGGUUAAGCUUCUUCAUCAUUUCAACGGUGUCUUGCACCACAAGGUACCCUCCUGGCCUUACUAUUCUGUCUAUUUCCACCACCACCUCCAUCAAAUCACACCUGAUAAAACCAAAAAAAAAACAUCAUGUAGUUUUGCUACAGAUUCAGACACACAAGCUUGUAGGCAGAAUCAUAAGUUUUUUUUGUUUACCUUUGAGAAAGAUUGGUGAGAAGGAAACUAGAGUGCAAGAGAUCAUAUGAUCUAGGGUACGUGUUGAAAGACUCACACCAAUCAUGGUAUAUCCCUAUCAAACCCCUAUCGAAAAUCAUCGAUAAAGUGUCUUCACCUUGUACAGGAACCACAUUCAUCACCCAUAGAGGUCUGUUUAUAAGAGCAGCUGCAAAUCUGAAACCCAAAAAUCAAGAAGACAAUGUAAGAAAAAUCUUUUAUCUGAACUAAACUAUAUUCAAGAAUAGUCUCACCCUCCAUAACCAGCAUUCAUGUCCAUCACAUUAUGAAUCUUGGUCCAGUUUAUAGCUAAACCGGUUAAGUAGAUAUCUGACACGGUUCCAGACCAGAGUCUUGUGUCUUCUCUGAAACUCUCUUCACUUCUCUGUUCUGUUAAGAGACUAACCGGCUUAUCGGUUAACCUUCCAGGCCAUUGGGAAGGCCACUUUCCGGUUAAACCGACCGGUACUUUCGGUACACAGCUAAGCAGAGGAGUGUACCAUGAACUGUUCUUCUUUGUGUCUUCUUCAUUACAAAGAGGUGGUUCAUUGUUCUUACGGGCUCCAUAGCAAGAAUCUGAGUCUGGUUUCUGGUAAAUCACGAACCCGACUUUUGUAAACCGGGUUCUCGCCACAACUUUCCAACACAUUGAUGUAGUCAAAGACUCCAUAGCUACAAGAAAACAAAAAAAAGAACAUUCAUAAAUACCAUACGUGUGCUACAAGUAACAAACAAUAUAAACACACUAACUUUUCCAAACGUUACGGUGUCCUUCAUCGUGUUGAUAAACCGGUGUAGCUGACCAAACAAAGAACCCUCCAGGUCUUAGAACCCGGUUAAGUUCCAAAAGUGGUCUACCACCUACAACAUGAAACUUUAUUAUACACACACAAAAUCAUAAAAGCUAAGGUAAAAAUAAAAAAUAAAAAAAUAAAGAAAUAAAAGCUAAGGUAAUCAGUUGUAUAUAUCGAACCGUAUCCAUGCCAAUGGACUCUGCAUCUUGCGCAGUGGAUAACAUCAUAAGCAUUAUCAGGAAAAGGAAGCUUUUGAGUUCCAAUAACAGCUAGUGUAGCUGGGAUGCCACGUUCUAGUGCGAACUGAAUCUGAGCUUCGUGUUCGUCUUUGGGAGCAAAAGACAUUGUGAUGACGUUUUUGUCUAGUAACGUCCCACCGAAGCUAGCCACACCACAACCAACGUCGAGAACAACUCUUACUUUCUUUCCCCAUUCAAGAGCAGGUAACGUCUGCGAAAAUAAAACAAGAACCGUGAAGUUAAAGAGAAGUGGAGAGAGGACAGUGUUGGUUUGUUGUGUAUAUACCUUUUGUAUGUAGUUGAUGUAGUGAAUGACACCGUCUUUGAACUGAGUUCCACCUCCGGGAAAGACAAAGAAAGGUCCGGUUUUACGAAUCCAGUUCUGGUCUUUCUUGUAGUCUACAAGCUUGGGGUGAGGAGCAUUAUCAUACCAUAUCUACACAAACACAUGAGUUUAGAAAAGCAGAACAAGAACAGAGGACAAUGUUUAAUCAAGAAGCAGAACAAGAACCAAGAAACGAUACUCUCACCAUGUCUCUGCUCUUAGGCCAAGGCAAAGGAACCUUGUAGCGUUUUGGCAAAGGAACGAGGCAUCUAGGAGCAGGCACAGGACAGUGUCUCUCUCUGUGCUCCAUGUUCCUCUUAGACUUGAGUUUCUUGAUGGCUUUCAUGUUAUCUAGACACGGCAUGUAAUCUGGACUCUCGCAUCUCUUCCACUCCACCUUCAAACUACUCUUGUCUUUAACCCAAUCCAUUUCCAAAUCUUGAUGAACCGGUUCAUCAUCAUCAUCGUCGACGCGGGUCUGAGAGACCGGUGGUUCCGGAGGGGGUGGAGGGUUGUUCACGGGGGCGGGACUAGAGGUUGGUGUGAAGGUGGGGACGUCGGAGAGAGAAGAGCGACGGAGGUAAGAGAGAGACAAGUAAGGGAAGAGAUCGAUGGUGUCGUUGGUUAAGAGGAGGAUCGUGACUGACACGAGCAAGAUUGAGAGAACGCAUAGGCCUGAGAAUUUACGGCUUCGGAAGAUGUUCAUCGUCUUUUCUUUCUUCCACGCAACAGAGGAGAGACUCUGAUCGAUCUUGGGACAAGAGUAGCGAUUGUGUUUAUGUGUUGAGAGCUAAAAAUAGAAAACAAGAUUGGCAGUAAAUAAAUAACUAUGCAUGAGACACGUGUCGUUUUACUACUUGUUAUGACGUAAUGUGAGAUAGGGAGAUAAUCUAUGUAUAUCUUUCCUUAUGAAGCCAUGAUGUGUAUUAUUUGAUGUGCAAGUUAGUGGAUGAAUAUGCCUGAGAAUAUAUAAAGGAGACAAAAACAUGGUGACAACUGGUCUAAACCUUCAACCAUAAAUCUUUACUUUAUCUAUCCGGUUAGUGGCUUUCCCUUAUGUUCUCAAAUGAACCAUACAAAAGUUUUGUCAAAAAAAAGAACAUGUCUUGAACUAAUAUUGAGUCAAUAAAGCUAAAAAAAGAUUUUGGUUCGGGUUAUGCAAAGGUUUUCGCUUAAAAAGAAAAUUAUCCACAAGAAUUUCGUAGCAAAAAAAAAAAGAAAAAAGAAAAGAGAAGAAUUUCGUAGCUGCCAUAGUAUUAUGUUCAUGUUGUGGAAGCAUAAACUAAAAAGAUAUGCACCUCACUUUCUGUAUAUUGUGUGUACAAUUUGCGAUGUAAUUUUUUUAUGUAUUAAAGAAAUGAGAUACCUAAUUUCAUAAUGUUUUUAAUAAUACUCCCUCUGUUUCAAAAUACAUGAAGUUUUAGGUUGAGACACAAAUAUUAAGAAACUUAUUUUUUAUCUAAAAAAUAUCAUUAAAAUAUAAAUUAAAAAUUAUUCAACCAAUCACAAAACAUACUACAAAAUAUGAUUGGUUACACAGUUUUUAAUAAAGUUAAAAAGUACCUUGAAAUAUGAAAACAUCAUCUAUUUUGAAACAUCAAAAACUCACUAAAACAUCAUCUAUUUUGAAACGGAGGGAGUAUUAAACUUUAUAUUAUAUUAGUUUUUUAUUUAAUGUUUAUAGCUAUUACAAAAAAAGCAAAACAAUGUAAAACAGAAUGCUACUUUGUCUUCCAAGGGAGAACCCACCCUGGUGGAUCCCAAUACCUUCUCGUAAACCAAAUUCCAUCAACUCUUGCAAUCCAUGAACGUAACUGACCACAUCGCUGAUAAUUUGAAUGAUAUACUUCAAGACCAUAAUAAAAUUUAUUAUUAGGCCCAUGACUAAUAAUGCAAGUCCAUUGUGUUUCAUCUGCCCAAUUAUAGUCGCUGAAAGCAACAAUAUAUGGAGUUGCAUUAAAGCUUAGCUGAUCAGAUUUCCUGAUCCCCAUGUUAUCUUUACAAUCAAUCGACAAAAUACUGCCGGGAGUUAGUUGAUUAUGAAAUACUACAUGGUUUUUCUUGCAAGAAGCUUCGUUUAACCCAAGACACAUAGAACUAAUAAACACAAAAACUAUCAAACGGUUCAUGUUGUGUAUCUAUGAUAUUUUUUGGAAUGAUAAAGAUGUCAAACAUGUUUGAGUAUUUAUAGCCCCUGUAUGAAAAUCAUUCAUUUUUAACAUAUUUUUUUACAAAACUAGUAACGCAUAUAUCUAUGGAUUUAGGUAAAUCUUGAAUACAAAAUGAACUAGUCAAAACAUGAGAGAUUAGUUUCUAUAAGUAUAGUUGACCAUUACGCUCAAUCCAGAUAAUGCUUACAAAGUAGCUACCUAAACAAAAGAUUUCUUGGCAGAAAAUAAGUAUAUAUUUGAUUGUAGUGGUCAACCAUAAUAAAAUCUAACAAGUUUUCUUCCAAAUUUUAUGGAAAGAGUUAAUAUACACAUUGAUGUAUAUCACUGCAUAUAUACACAUUCAUUCUAACAAGUUUCACCAAAGCUAAUAUCGAUGUGUACAUACACAUCCAUUCUACUGAGAGCAUCUUUAUCCCUAAACCUCAAUGGGGUUUCUUAAUUUAUUUUUUAUUUUUUUCGGAUUAAAAAAAAUUAAAAAGUGCAUCAAUCGUGGGUCGCCACAUGUCGGUGGGACCCGCGAACAGUGCGAAAACCCCAUGGUAAGCGGUUCUCAUUUCACGCUUUUGGUGACCGAUUUUAAGGAAAUUUGUGGAGCCUACAAGGAGAGAAACCUAUUAACAAACCCGAAUAAUUGUUAUCUAAGAGCAUGAUUAUCCCAUGAAAUCCAAGUGGGUUUCUUAAUAAUAAUUUAAUGAUAUAAAUGUAUUUAAGUGGGCUUAAGAACUCUAGUUAAGAAACUUUCAUUUUGAGUGGUCCAAUGGGAGUUUCUUAAUUAGGGAUUCUUAACAAAAAAAAACUAAUUUUUUUUAAAAAUAAAAUUUAUUUAUUAAAUAAAACAUAUUAAAAUAUAACAUUUAAAACAUAGAUUUAAAAAAAACAUAAAAAAAAAAUUAGUACAAUAAACGAAAUUAAUUUGAAAAAAACAUCCGAGCUCAUUAGUUGUAUCUAUCACGUCCAAAUUUACUCUUGUAAUGACCACUACUUACUAGAGAAGAAGAAGAUGGUAGUUAGUAACAUAGCACCAACAAAAGCAUAAAGCCGAAUCUUUAAGGCAAUUGAACAAACAGGUCUUGAGAAAUCAACAAAGAUUCUUUAAGGCAAUUGAACAAAGCUUUCUGACCAUGCUAAUCCUUCAGACAUAAACCGGUAUCAACAUAACCACAAAACACAAGUCAUGUUACAUACCUGCUGCGUUCGUUCUCAAUCUGGCCGAGUGACAACACCCGCUCAUGUGUCCAAUGAACAGCAACAUGUACACCACGGGUAAAAAGAUAGAACGAUCAGGAAGACUAUUAGCAGAGAAAGAAGAUCAAAAGGAAGAGAAAUGAUAUAUACCUGACCAGUCUUGAAAAUGUAGACGAAGUAGUUUCUCUUCAUGGUUCAACUGAAAAAAUAACAGAUUAGAUAUUAAGUAACUCACACCAGAACCAGAUUAAUACUAUAAAAAAAAGUACAUAGAGAACUAAAAAAUGGAAGCGUUACUUUUCUGAGACAGAACAUAGCAUAUAAGGACAACGUAAGAAACAUUGAACUCACUUGCAGCUCCACUUUAGCAGAGAGGAUGAGACCGAUCACCCGCCAAGAACACAUAAGUCUUGUUCUUCACCUCCAUCCAACUAUAGCCAGCUUCUUUCUUCACCUUCCUCUCCUCCAUCAGCUUCCUUACUUUAGCUCUCUCUUGCCAAUCUCCUGACUCUGCAAACAUAUUAGACAACAACACAUACGCAGCUGAAUCCUCUGCGUAUCCAGAGAUCAUACUGUUCCAUGUCACCACACUCUUUACCUCCUUCUUAUCAAACAAGAUCCUAGCUUUCCUAACGUCACCACAUUGAAGUGAAAAUAAACGAAAAAGUGGUAAAAGUAUAUUGCAUUGAAAGAAGAGUCCCUUGAAAGAAAUGAAAAAUGUGACCAAACUAAGUUUAAGAUGGGCUACUGUCUGCCUAAUUAAAAUGUGACAAUGAGACUAAAACGUACCAGUCUUUUCUCCUUUUCAAAUGGGCUACUGUCUGCCUAAUUAAAUUUCAAACUAAAACUCAUUAUAAAGGGUGAGUCUCAUAUCUUUUACCAUCUUACGUAUGUUCACUCAAGCUUAAGAGAACAGAGAACUCUGUUUGAUCAAAGAUAAAAAAAACAUAGCCAGUUUACAGUAUUUACGAACACAAACUAAUGAUGAAAUGGUUUAGAACACAUUAACUGAAAAUAAAACAAGAAACACUACUUGGAGAAUCAAAGAAUUACAAAAUAAAAUAAAACUACAACUACUCUGCAAAAUUCUCCACUCAUUUUCUAUCGACUUGUGGAAGCAGAAGCUUCAGGAACAUCAAUCAACGGUUCAGAUGUUGUCACCGCUGCCAUCUCCUCCGGUCUAAUCUCUCCAAGCUGUGUCAUAACUUGCUGAGCUUCAGGUCUAGUUGACGGCGUAGGAUCAACACAAUGCAAAGCCAGUUUCAGCGUAUUCAACAACUCAUCACCCAUAGUGUUCACAUCACUCAACAACUCCACAUCGAAAACCUCAUUAGUGGACUCUUCUUUAACCGCAGUAGCAACCCACUGAGGCAGAUCCACACCGUUCAAGGCCUCGCUCGGAGACUUCCCAGUCAAAAGCUCCAGUAUGAUCACACCGAGGCUGUAAACAUCGGUCUUUGUGUUGGCUUUCUUCAGCUUAGAGAGCUCAGGUGCUCUGUAACCUAAUGCACUAGCCGUUGCUAUCACGCUUGAUCCUGCUGCUGUUAUCAUUAGCCUUGAGAGACCGUAGUCUGAGAUCUUCGCGUUGUUGUUCUCAUCUAGAAGUACAUUGCUUGACGUUAGGUUUCCGUGGAUGAGGUUUGCGUGCGUGUGAAGGUAGAACAAGCCACGCGCCAUUCCUUUUAUUAAGUUCAUCCUUGUAGGCCAGUUGAUAUGCACAUCUGGUCCUCUUGCUGCAUUUUCAAAAACAUUAAACCAUAUGUUAUAUACAAAUGUUACAUAUCCCAUAAAAUUAUAAUCAAAGCUUACCAUGGAGGAAUGUGGCAAGGUUGCCUCUAGACAUGUAAUCAAAGACCACAAGCUUCUCUCCCUUGGGUCCCAAGUAAUAAGCCCUAAGUGCAAGGAGGUUUGGAUGUCUGAUUCUUCCCAACACAUUAAUCUCAUUCUCAAACUCUUUCUGCCCUUUGGUGAUCUUUUCUCUCAGUCUCUUCACUGCAACUUGACUUCCAUCUUCAAGUGUAGCUUUGUAAACUGUUCCAUAAGUGCUUUUCCCCAUGAUCUCUGCCGUUGCACACAGAAGAUCAUCAGCUGUAAACGCCAGUGGCCCAUCAAAGUGAACAAGCUUCCCUCCGGUCUCACCUCCAGCCUCAGCUUCUCCUCCUUUCUCGGUCUUCUUAGCAGUUCCUGGUCCAGCCUCUAGGCCUUUAGGUUUGGAUUUGUCUGGUUUCUUCCUCAGCAAGCAACAGAGGAGAAUGCACACAAGGAUAAACAUAACUAUGAGGAGUGCUCCGGAAGCAAUGAGGAUGAUGUCUUUAGUACUCAGGUUCCUGCCAGAUGACUUCGUAGGAGACGGUGAAGGAGGGUUUAUAGUAGGACAUGGUGUAGAAACACUGUAUCCACAAAGCCCUAGGUUUCCGACAAAGGAGGUGGAGUUGAACUUUUGGGACAAGAGAGUGGGAACAGGACCAGAUAAGUUGUUGUAAGAGACAUUGAAGAAAGUAAGGCUUUUCAGAUCAGUGAUGGAAUCAGGAAUCUCUCCGGUGAGUCUGUUUUGAGACAAAUCUAGAAGUGUAAGCUUAGUGAGUUUGCUUAGCUCGGAAGGUAGGGCACCACUGAUCCUAUUAUGACUAAAGGAAAAGACUUGUAGGUCAAGUAAGUUACAAAGUGAAAACGGGAAUGGGCCAGAGAGAGAGUUGUGGUCAAGAGACAAGACACGGAGACUAGGAGAGGUGUUGUUAGUACUCCCCCAAGUGUCUAAGACAGGACCAGAGAGGUUGUUAUGGUCAAGAGAAAGAAACUGAAGAGAAGAAGAGCGAGUGAGACUCACUGGGAUUUGACCAGAGAGUGAGUUGAAGCUGAGGUUAAGCCUAAGAAGCUUAGUGGAAUCAGCAAGACUCGUAGGGAUAGCUUCAGAGAGAAGGUUAUUACUGAGAUCAAGUGUCUGAAGGAAACGAGAAGCACCUAGAGAAGCAGGGAUGGAACCGGUGAGACGGUUGUUGAAGAGCUGAACUCCUCUGAGAUUAGGAAUGAGUCCUAAAGACAAAGGAAUAGAGCCUCCGAGGUUGUUGUCGUGAAGACUAAGCUUGCGUAGAGCUUGAAGCUGUCCUAUCUUCUCAGAGAUUCUACCUCCGAGAGACUUCCAUGGGAGCUGAAUCACUAUAACUUGACCUUGAGCACAUUUGAUUCCAGCCCAGCCUCCGGAGCAAGCGGUGAAGCCUGAACCGUUCCAGCUUCUUAAGACCCCUCUUGGGUCGAUGAACUCUUGUUUGACAGCUUGAAGGCCUUGGUAGUCAGCUUGUGUGAUCACUACACCGUCCCAGGCUUGGCUUGAGCCGGGAGAGACGAAGAAGAGGAGGGUGAUGAUGAUUAGGUGAAGGAGAAAGAAGCUUCGAAGUGAAGCCAUAGGAUGAUCAAUGGUGGUGUUGAUCAAUGAAGAAGAGAGAAGAGAAAGAGGAAGAGGAAGAAGAGUGAAUAAUGAAUGAGACUCCUAAGCAAGGAUGGAACAGGGAAUGGUUUUGGAUUUGAAAGAGUUUUGUACAGAGAGAGAUGAGUUUCGUUGGGAAAGAACAUCAUAGCACGUGCCCAUCUUACAGAGAGAGAAUCUUUGUGUUCUUUUUUAUCUUCUAGUGAGAGAGAGGAGACAAAGAUCAGGUGAUUGUAAUAAGAGGCUCUGGGGUGGAGCAGAGGCUCUCUAAUAACUAAAUGAGUUCUAACGGCUAGUUUCAUUUAUUAUAUUAUUCGUUUUCUUAGUUAAUUGUGUGUGUUUUGAAUACUUUGGUUUUUACAUUGGGUCGAUCUACCUCAUGUAUUUUGUUAUGACCAUGUGAAUAAAAUAAUUAUUUGAACAUUUGGAUUAGUUUUCAAUGAAUGCAAAUUUAACAAAGAUUUUUAAUAAUUAUUUUUUUUGCAUGAGUUUCAAAAAUCAGUUAAAAUGUUUGUUCUCAUAAAAAUUGAUAACUAACUUUUAACACAAAAAACUCUCAUUCGUUUUCAGUUACAAAAAAUCAAUACUAUUAAAACAAGAACAUGCCCCCAUUGAUAUUAGUUGAGUCCAAUUUAAAAAAAAAUGAUUUUUAUAUAACUGCAUCAAAUAUAACUGCAUCAGUUGAUAUAUUCAUAAUUAUGUAGAUAAUUGAGUAACUGAAUCUAAAAUUAACUAAAAGGGACGUAGGAAGCAGUUACGUUGAUCAAUUAUAUUAGAAAUAAUCAGGACCCACUUUACUGGAUUAUCUGACCCACUAAAUAAUAUAUAUCUUCUUUUAUCAAAUAGUUAAUCUGGUCAUGGAUUAUAAAUGGUGUAUUCUGGAAGUUUUUAUUUAAUUUUAUUUUACUUUUUAAUUUCCAGUUCAUAAAAUGUUCCAAAAUUUGAAUUAUCGUAAAUGUUUUGUAAAGUCUGUACAUAUUGUUUGUUAUAUGUACCGCUAAGGAAAAAAAGGUACCGAUAAGGAAUAUUUAAAUAAGUUAAAAAAUAUAUCAUAUAUUGCUAAUAGGUAAGAUUAAAUAUAAAAUUCUAAUUUAAUAUGGAUUAGAUCAAUUGUAUAUCCUAAUUAUAAGAGAUAUCAUAUUUAUUAGAUAGAAUAGAUAUGAAGUAUAUGUUUUUAAUAUUUAGUCACAAUAUGUCUAAUAGGUGCAAAACAAAAUAUAAACAAAAUAUGUCUAAUGGAUUAAAGUAUAUGUUUUUAGCUAUUUAUUCUUUAAUCCUUCGAAUAAUGUAGUAUUUUGUCAAAAUCAAUAGCAUGCUUCAAUCUGAAACUAAAUAUAUAUGAGCAUAUUCUAAAUACAAAAUUGAAGUAUUUAACAAAAUCAUUUAAGAUAUAGAAAAUUUAGUCCAACCAAAAUCUAAAAAGUAUAUUUUUGGAAGUAAAUUUAAGAUUAUUAAAACUAUUUAAUUAAAUUGAUAUUAUUAUAGAAGUAUUAUUUAUAAAAAUAUAUUCUACGAGUUUUAGUUAAAGGGUUUUAAAUAGGUUAUUCGAUUAGAAAAUAUUUAUUAAAUGUGAUUAUAAUUAAGGUUAGUGAAAAUCAUAUUUACACAUUUACAUAUAUAUAAAUAUUAUUUAUAAAAAUAUAUUCUACGAGAUUUAUUUAACAGAAUUUAAAUAGGUUAUUCGAGUAAAAAUAUUUAUUAAAUGUGAUUUUACUUAAAGUUACUGAAGAUCAUAUUAACCCAUAUAUAUAUAUAUAUAAUAGAAUAUAAUAAAAUUAUUUUUUAAAACAUUUUUCAAAAAACAUUAUUCGGUUUUUGGUGUGGAUUGAAUUUGAUAUUAGUUUUCAGAUAUAACACUCUAAGAACCACAAUCAUAAUCGUGUUUUAAUAGAAUAUAUUAAACAAAAAUAUAAAUAAAAAAAUAAAUAUAAAAAUUAAAUUACUCAAAAAAAUUAAAACAAAAAAUAUACCCGCCCUUCGAAAGGGCGGGUCAGAAUCUAGUAAUAAUUUAUUAUCCACUUUGUCAUGAGUGUUAUCAUGGUUCAUAUUGGUGUCUCAAAGAAAAUCAUGGUUCAUAUUGAAUCAAUAAAAAUAUAAUUAUUAGCUUCGAAUUCGUACUUGUUGUAUGUUUUGUAUUUUUUUUUUCUGAAAUGGAACCUCAUCGCUCUAUUAGUGUGUGAGUUUAUAUUAGGCAAUACUAAUUCCAAAUCGAGAUGAAAGUAUUGUUAAUAAGAUAAAAUUAUAAAAAUAAAGAAGACAACAGUUAAACUAUUUUAAGUGAAUAAUAUAGAAAGUAUAAAAUAAAAUACUUUGCAAAAGAUCAAAGUAUUUAAAACUUUUUGUUUUUGGCAGACCAGCUUCGUUUAAUGCGCCGGAGCUUUGCCUAUGGACAACAAACCGCUCCUUCACUUCUAACGGCUAUAUUUGUGGGGUCCUGAGACAUGGAUCAUUAGAUCUGCUAAGCAAAUUAACAAACACGUUUACUUGUGGUUAAUAAUGAAAUUAUACUCCAAAGUGAAAAGUAAUAAUGUAUAAUUUAUAUAAUUUGAAAUUAGAAAGGCAAAACUUUAUUUAAUAGAAAAAGAAGAGAAGGGUUGUGCCGUACGAGGUUAAUGAAUAUGUAUGUUGACGUUGAUCUAUCUUUACCUUUUUUUUUUUUUUUGAUCAACAGAUCUAUCUUUACUUCUCUCCUCUUUAAGACAGUUGUUGAGUGGUUCACGUGUAACCCGUUAGAUAUGUAGGCUUUCCACUUUUGAACUUAAAUUUUAAAUGUUCUUCGUGUAUUUGACUACAAACAUUUCGUUUUUUCAGAGAAUGUCAAGAGUAGACUAUGAUCAAUGACAUAUCAUUCUUAUGGGUAGAACAGUAAGGUUGCAAGAAAUAAUCUUUACCUUAAACUCAACAUAAUAUGCCACCAGUAGAGAUGUUAAAAUGGAUUCAACUUAACAUAAUUAAUUUUUUUAAACCCUAAUACUGAGUUUUGGUACCAUGGACCACACAUGGAUCAUAUAUAAUUAAAUACCUGGACUUAACAAAGUUAAGUUUUUUUCUUCACUAAACAAGGUUAAUAUACUAAGAUUUUUUUGUCAACACAACAUUUUGUAAUCAUGAUUUCCUUUUAAUUUGGCCCACCAAUCAUUUUAAAAAUAUUUUAGGGCCUGAUCCAUAAAAGUUGCGCUGGCCCAAUACCUUCAGGUCACGGGUUCGAGCUGUCCUUCUGCUUUUCUUUUCCUUGAUCAACAGUACUAUUAUUUUAAAAUACAUGACACUCUAAUGAUGUUUUUCAUGUACAUGACACUCUAAUGAUGAUUUUUAAACACUUGUCUCUUGAUGUUUUUGUUGUUACUUAUUGGUAAGUACUAGAAAACAAAAUAACUAGACUUUUUAUUUUUCUUGUUGGAUGUCAAUUUUAUUUCAAGAUAAGUCAUGGUCAAGAAAAUUUAACUUGAUUUGAUCAAAGUAUUAGAGUAGACUAUAUGUAUUUUGAACAUAACUUCUACAGAAAAUUUUAAUAACAUUUGAAUAAAGACUCGUCUUCCAAAAUUUAUUUCAACCUCCACAAUAAAUAGUCACUACCUUAUUUAAAAAAUGAGCUUUGUUGUGUGUUGUUUUUAAGGUAUACAUUUUCUAAGGUUCACCACCAUAUGUGGAAAACAAUGUUCGUUGAUUUGCAGGUACUAAUAUAAGCUAUAGAAUAUGUUGUACAAUAAAAGAAAUAAUAUGUCAUGUACUGUUUUGUUGCCUAGUACCUAGAUAAACUUGGGUUUCAUAACAAGUUUUAUUUUUAGGAGAUGGUUUUUCACUGAUUAUGUUGUUUUAAACUUUUAGUACUUAUAGACAAUACUUAGCUUUUAAAAGAAAUAAAUAAUGUCAUUCCAUGAAUUCUUUAGCAUCUACAGAAAUGUAAAAAAUGUCUAUCAAAUGGUCAAAUAUAACUCUAAAAUAAUGAUGAACAAAGUUAAAAAAAUAUGCAUAAAUGUCAUUUGAACUUAACAAAAACAUUAUUGGUCACCACUACCACACAGUUUGUGAAAUGCAAUGUGAGUGGGGUAUGGUCAAACACGAAAAUGAGUUGUGGAUAGCAUAUAUUUUACAUGACCAAUAAUGUUUUUGUCAUUAUAGCAUUUUCUCAGAGAUGGUCUAUUAAAAGCAUAUCGAUCAACUAUACUUUUGCCUAUUGAAAUUUAAUAUAUAAGAAAGAAAAAUUUAAAAUCUGUCAUAAAUAUUUCAAAUAUAUAUAGUCAAUUCGUAUAUAAAUGGUCAAUUGAUGAGAUUAAUCUUCGAAAGAAAUUUAAUUUUUUUAACCAAUUUAAUUCACCAUAUACUAUUUUUUUGAUCUCUGAAACAAGUAGCUAGUUGUUGAUUCUUCCUCUUAUCAUUGUAUUUCUUAUAUAAAAAUAAUUUCUUAUUAAAACCAAAAACAUAAAACACAUUUGAAAAAUCAGAUCUAGAAAAUCUAUAAUACUUGUAUCCAGAAUUUUUGCAUCGUUAUACUGUGUUUACACUAUGACUUGGAUACAUAAAUAUGUUUAUAUAGUUUACUACUUUAAAUGAUUUGAGGAAAAAACAAUUUAGUAAGUAAAUGACCAAAAUAGCAUGGUCAACCAAAAAAUGAACAAAGAAAAAAAAAUAUUAUUGAAGUAGUUGAUUUUCCACAACGUUGUCGUAGUGUUUCUCUGUCAUUGCUACAUAUUUUUUUCUAAUAUAUUUUACAAGAUUUUCUUAGAAAAUUUCAAACUCACAGUCAAAUAGCAUUUUUCAGAGAUAGUCUAUUAAAAGCAUACCUAUGAACUAUACUUUUAGCUAUUGAAAUUUAAUAGUAUGCAGGAAAGAAAAUUUUAAAAUCUACCAAAAAUAUUUCAAAUAUAUAUAGUCAAUUCGUAUAUAAAAUAGUCAAUUCAUGAAAUUAAUCUUCGAAAGAAAUUAAUUUUUUUUUACCAAUUCAAUUCACCAUAUACUAUUUUUUAUCUCUGAAACAAGUAGCUAAUUGUUGACUCUUCCUUUAAUCAUUGUAUUUUUUAUAUAAAAAUAUUUUUUUAUUAAAACCAAAAACAUGAAAUACAUUUGAAAAAUCAGAAAAUCUAUACCACUUGCAUCCUGAAGUUUUGCACCAUCAUACUGUGUUUACACUAUGACUUGGGGGAUGAUUGGUAAGUGCUGUAGCUUUAUAUUUUUUGCUGUAGAAUUUAAUCUGUAGAUUUAUUUGCUGUAGCUUUUCUUGCUGUAGAUUUCUAAAGCACUAAUUUUUUGCUCUGGAAAUAAAGCUCUCUACAGCCAUAUUUUGAUUUUUCAGAGAUUUUAUUGCUGUGAGUUUUUUAAGGAAAGAAAAGCUUGAUUGGUUGACAUAUAUAGCUGUAGACUAAAUUUUGGCUGUCCAAAGCAUCUACAGCCCCAACCAAUCAUCCCCUUGGAUACAUAAGUAGGUUCAUAUAUUUUACUCCUUUCAUAUGAUUUGAGGAAAAAAAAAUUUAGUAAGUAAAUGCGAUAAAAUCUUGAAAGCGUUUGGGACUUAUGGAAAAGCUAUUGGAUAAUGCAUUAAUUUUGAAAAAUCAUUCUUACUCUUUAGUAAGAGAAUACCUAGACAUGUCAAAGAAACUAUGGCUCCGAUUGGUGACAUGUAGUAUUAGCUUUGAGUUACCAAAAAAUGUAUAGUUCGACGUAAUUUGCAGUAAAAAUUAUGUGGUAGAAACUGUAGAUGCAGUAGGUUUACUGUAUAAAUUUGAGUUAAUAUAUUUUGAAAUAAUUGACUGGUAACAUUUUUGAUGUAUAAAUUGCAGUAUGUAUAAUUUCUUUAAAAAAUCUAAAUAUCAUAAAUAAUAACAUUUAUUAUAUAUUUAAUUAAAUAAUUAAAAAACUAAAUAUAAUUUAAAAAUUAAGAACAUAUAUUAAAAACAAAUUAAUAAUUAAAAUUAACAAAUAAAAUCAUAGGAUAUAACAUUUUAAUCAUCAAACAAAAUUAAAAAUAUAAAAACAAUUUGGAUUAACUAACUAGAGUUUUUUUUUUGUUAAAAACUAACUAAAGUGAAAAAUAAUUAGAAAGUCUUUGGCUAACAAGUAGGUAAUUUAUUAAAAUAUUGUAUUAAUUAGUAACAACUAAACGUACACUAUGUGAUCAUGUAUUAUAAUUUUUUAAUUUGUUAAAAAAAAAUAAAAAAGGGACGUGACCAAAAAAUUAUUUAACUAGUCUUAAUACAUGAAAAUUUUAUUGAUGUUGAUUUAAGAUUUGAUUUAUCAUUCUUACAAAGGAUAUAACUCAAACUAGUAACUCAACAAUAAUACAUUAUAUCUCAAAUUUAACAUCAAAAACUCAAAACUAAUUUAUGAUUGGUGACAUUUUUGAUUUUUCAGCAUAACUCAAACUAAAUCAACUCUAAUACAUGUUACCAAUCAAAGCCUAUAAAAGCUUCAACUGGAAUUGAAAAUGAAGGAGGAAUGAGUUCCUAUCUUGGUAUCCCUGAAGAUAUUAGCGUUUCAAAGAUAAGGCUCUUUGCCUUUCUGAAAGAACGACUGCAAAACCGUGUUAAUGGCUGGACAGGAAGAUGGCUAUCAAUGGGAGGAAAGGAGGUGCUCAUAAAGUCUAUAUUGUCGGCUCUGCUUACGUAUGUAAUGUCAAACAUGCUUCUACCUUUAGAGCAUCUCCAAAAGAAACUCUAUAACUCCAAAUAUAGAGUUUUUUGCUCUCCAAAAAGGAACUUCAAAACUUCAAAUUUGAAGUUUUGAAGAGUGAAACUCCAAAUAUAGAGUUUCACUUUUCAAAACUUCAAAUUUGAAGUUUCAUCUUUUUAUUUGCAUUUUGGUCCUUACAAUUAUACAUCAUAUUUAUAAUUCUUAAAUAUUUUUUUUGUUUAUUGUUUUAAUCCUUAAAACUUUUAUAUCUCAUAAAUAUUUCAAAUUUGUUAUAUAAACUUAAGUUUUACACAUUAAAUUAAAUAAAAAAAAAUUAAAACAAGAUUUAUAAUAUUUUAAAACUAGAAUUAAACAACAAGAAUAUUACAAAAAACCAUAAUAAAAACUUAUUAAAAAGACACAUGAAGACAUAAUUAUUACUCAAAUUUAAAUAUUAUAACAAGACUAAUAGUCUGGUAAAUUUGCUCCGGAACCUCCAAAAUCUCCAAAAUAUUGUUCAACAAAUUUUGUGUAACCGAAGAUGAUUGUUGUUGUUGCUCUUGACGCAUUUUUCGUAUGAUUCUUUCUUGUUCAGAUCGAAUGUAUUCACGAAUAUUAACGUCAUCGAUAGAAGCUAAGUUUUUUAGCAAUAUUUUAUUUUCCUCUUUUAUUUCUUUAAAAGCUAACUUUUUUGCUUCAUUUUGCAGUCGUAAUUCAAUCAUCUCAUGACCUUUUUCCCUGCUUGUUGUACUUUCGUUUAAAAGAUCAAGGAUUUUUUUCGUUUGAUGAUAUCAAACUAUCAGCAGACAUAUUAUGAGGAUAUCCGGUUUCAACAAUUUUUGGCUCGUAAUCUACAAAUAAAAAAUAAAGAGAAUCAUUUCUUACUUCGAAAUAGUUGAUCAUAUAUGGGAGCAUUAUGGAAAUAAUUUUAUGCAAUAAUGUAAUAUUUGCUUGCAGUUUAAUAUUUAAUUAUGUACUUUUAUUUAUAAUUUUAUAUUUUAGUGUAAGAUUUUUUUUUAAUUAAUAUUUCUGUAAUAUUUAUAUAUAUGUAUUAGUUAUUUAUAGAAGUUUUAUGAAUUUACAUCAACUAUGACAAACAUAAGGAUCAUAGUGUAAAAUAUAAAUAAUUUUGAAGUUAGGUUUGAAGUUUUACUUUUGGAGAAGAACACAUUGAAACUUCAAAUAUAAAGUUUUGGAAACUUCAAAAUAGAGUUCCUUUUUGGAGAUGCUCUUAGAGACUUGCGAGAAUUUAGCUAGUGCCAUUGCACAGUUCUGGUGGAGCUCAUACCUUCUAAAAGUGAUAUUCAUUGGGUAAAAUGGGAAAAACUUUACAAAUCAAGAGAAGAAGGAGGAAUAGGAUUCAGGUUGAUUCACAAAUUUAACCUCGCUUACUUGGGAAGCAGUUAUGGCAGUUAGUGCAAUUCUCUAACUCCUUACUGGCAAGAGUUCUGAGGGGGCGGUAUUUUUGAUGUAUCUCGCCGUUGCAACUAAACAAUACGAAAAAUCUCUCAUAUGGGUGGAUGAGUAUAAUGGCUGCAAAGCCAUUAAUAACAUUGGAUAUUAGACAAAAGGUACACUCAGGUAAUGAUAUUAAGAUUUGGGAAGAUCAUUGAAUCCCAACGAUACUGGCAAUACAAGCUAGGCCGAUUGCACCAGUACUUCACCCAAUGAUGCCAGUAAGUGAUCUGAUGAUUGGAAAUCCGAAGAGAUGGAAUGCUGAGAUGCUGGAAAACUAUGUCCAUCAGGAUGACAUCCCAUUGAUCCAAUCACUGGCCAUAAGCCAAGAUUAUCAUCGAGAUAGAUAUUGUUGAAACUAUACGAAGAAUGAGAUGUACACUGUCAAGUCAGGUUAUUGGGUGGCAACUAACUUGCUUAUGGGGGAAACAUUGGAGGUGCAGGAACCUAGUAUUACAAAGCUCCAAGCCUUUGCUUGAAAAAUAUAAACUCCUCCAAAAAUCAGACAUUUCAUUUGGUAGACGAUAUCUAGGCAAUUAGCAGUGACAAGUAACCUGACUCAUCAUCAUAUGAGAUGCGACAACCAUAGUCCUCAUUGUGGUGCAGAUGAUGAAACUAUAAAUCAUGUCAUCUUUUAAUGCCCGCCACCUCUUCAGACAUGGGAACAUGCGGCAACCCCAACACCGCCAACACUAUUCUCAAGUGGAAGCCACUUCACAAAUAUGGAUUACUUCUUCUGGCGAAAGAAUGAUAUUGAAGAUCCAAAAUUGGACAAAAAUCCAUAUCCUUGAAUCAUAUGGUAUAUUUGAAAAGCGAGGAACGAUAAACUCUUUAGAGAGAUAGACAGGGAUCCUAUGGAAACUGCCAAACACGCUGAAUAAAAAUUCCACGCUUGGUUUGAAGCAAAUCAAGGACCAGAAGAAAUGGUGGAAUCACAAAAUCCAGAACGAGCUACAAUCUCAGAGAGAUGCAUGAUAUAUGGAUCAUGGACACAUGACACGCUCUUUAGUGGUUAUGGAUAGAAUGGAUAAAUUCAAGAGGAGGGACACAACUAUUGGGAGCAAGAAACCAACACCAACGAAUCUCACCACUUCAUUCGGAACUGAAGACUUUAUCUUGGGCAAUGGAGUGUAUGUUCCAGGUAUCGACAUGUCAAUAUUUUGGGACCGACUGCAAGGACUUAAUCUCGAUGAUCAAAGACUCCGGAGCAUGGCCGAACUUUUCUACCGAGGUGGAGGAGUUAAUGAAGCUAAAAAAUAGAUUCACGGAGUUCUCGAUUGUUUUUGUUCCUUGUUCGGAAAAUAUAUCAGCUGAUUCAUUAGCUAAGAUAGCGAGAUCCUUCCCUCGAGAAUUGUAUUACAUUGGUUGUUCUGUUCCGGUCUGGUUUCUCAGACCACAUCAUCAAGCUUGAGUAAUAGAAUACCCGUUUGAAAAAAAAAAGACCAAAAAUAACAUAAUCAACCAAAAAAUGAACAAAUGAAUAAACUAUAUUAUUUUUAGUAUUUGAUUUUCUGCAACAUUGUCGUAGUGUUUCUCUGUCCUUUCUACAUAUUUCUUAUAAUUUGAAAUAUAACAAUUUAAAAAAAAAAUAAACCAAAAAAAACUUCGGAAGAAAAACCCCCGUUGAGGGUGCUCUGAGAAAGUGACGUUUUGUUUAUUAAAGAUAUUAAAAUUGUUUAAAAUUAUGUGUAUUUUUUCUAUCUACAGUACAAUCUAACAAGUAUAAAAUAAUGGUAGUUCACCUUGGUUUAAAGUGAUGACUUACUCAAAAGUUUAACAACCAAUAAAAAGUUAGGGGUGACUGGUUUUCCUGCUACUACCCGCAAACACAGUUUUUGCAGUUGGUAGCGGUUGUCGGCGGUUUGCAAUAAUCAUUCAAAUCGCUCUAAACCACUUCAAACCGCUCCGAAUCUCAUAAAUUCAAAAGCUGGCUCCAGCUAGCGUUUGCGGUUGCGGACGGUUGCGGGAGGGUAAAACUUUUUUCUUUUUUUUUAAAACAAUAUAUAUACAAAAGUAAAAAUAUUUAGUAAAAAACUUAAAAUUGAAAUUAUGAAAAUAUCAAAAUAUUUCUAUUAUAUUUUAAUUAAUAUUAUAAUUUUAUAAUAAAAAUAAUUUCAAUAAAUUUUCAAAAAUUAAAAUUAUAACUUUCUAAAUGUAAAUUUUAUAUUUAUUAUAAUUUUAUGAUUUUUGAUAUUUUUGUAAUUAUAUUAAAUGUAAAUAUUGUUAAUUUAUUAUUUGAUGUUACCGUAUUUGGUAGUUAACCAGUCAUAAGUCACCCGCAAACGCACCAAUUUUUAACCGCAGUACCAGUUGUACAAAUCUCUUAAAACCGUUAGAAACCGCAACCGCCCGCAUCCACAAACUCCCGCAACCACAACUGCAACCGCUGCGUUUGAACCAGUCAGACCCUUUAAAUACGUUAAUGCUAAAAUGACCACGAUACUCCUUCUAACUCUUCCUAACUUCCAACAUAUGCGGAUCUAAUGCAAUGUAAACGUGUGUGAUCAAUAAUUCAAGUGCACUAGGAGUGACUCCACCAGCUGAGAACACUUUGAGAUCUUAAAUGAACGUAUACCAUUAGUCCAGCAUAUGCAGCCCACUUGUUACACAAAUCAGCAACUGUAAGCAUACUUCAUAAACAAACAAAAAAGAGUAAAUCAAUAUGAUCAUAAUUUAAACAAACCAAUCCAUUUCCAAGCAACUCAAUGUUCAUACUACUCAAGUCUCAGUAAAAACAGAUGGAACGCCAGGUUUAUCUAAUACAAGACGUUUGAACAUUGUCCAUGUAUGAUGAUGUGUAUCGUUGAUGUCAUCAGUUGUGCGCCAACUGUUUCCAACUUCUUUUGCCGGUAAGGCAGGAUCAUCAACGCCCUUGCAGACACGAGAACAUGGUAAAUAAGAGGUAUUAACUUUACUCGUCCUGUGUGAAGACAUUUUGAGGUAUGUACCACUCACAAAGUGAGUAGAAGAUUGAGCGAGACCAGUAGCGUAUAGAGCAUCACACAUUGGAGGGUAUCUGGAAAACAUGAACUGGAACAAGUUUUUUUCUUUGAAAACGUAUACCAAAUAGAGUUCUGAUAUAUGGUACCAAAUCAAAUUAUAAAGAUCAAAUUUUUCCAUGGGAUAAGGGAUUUAUACCUAGGUUGAAACAAUUAUCAUAUUUCAGAUAUUAAAACAGUUAUGAUCUUUGUUUGUAAAACGAGGGAUGCAAGAUAUUCACUUUAAAAAUACUUACGACAAAGGAAAAAAAAAUGGGAACGUUAAACGUUAUUAAAUAUUAACUUUGACAAACAAAUUCGACAAAAGAAAAUAAACAUCAAAUAUUAUUACUAAAUGACCGUUUACAUUUUACAUCUGGCUAUAGUAAAAACAAAUUGAAAUACGCAUGAAAAAGGAAAAUAGAGAAACUAACCGUUGAAUUUUUACAGCUGUAUCUAGUAAAAAGGAAAAUAUGUGAAAAAUACGGAAAAGAAAAAAGGAAAUUUCACAAACCUAUAUAACACGAUCCAACACUAUACGCGUCCGCAUAAAACUUUCUCUAAUCAUCAUCUUCUUCUUCUCUCUGUUUCUUUUGUGUUAUUUUCUCUAAACCCUAAAAGCGAUCUUUUGAGAUGAAAACUCUUGCGCCAUUUUCAAGUCACCGUCUCCGUCAACGAAUCUCCACCGUCUAUCCCGCGAUAACGUUCCUAUCACCACCUUCCUCUUCGAUGAUCAAGUCUCGGUCGGAAGAAAACUUGAGCAAGCUCAACGACUGCAUGGAGAACAUGGACGACGACGUGUCGGAGAUGUUCAUGGAAUGUCAUCAAACGGACUUCCGACAAGACCCCGAGCUGCUUCGUCUCCUCAGCGACUACUUCACCACGAGCAAAUCCGUCAGCGAGCUCUGCGAGUCUCUGAGGAAGUGUCUGGAGAGAGCACAACACGAGGAGUGCUUCGUGUUAGACGAGGCGUUGCGUGACUUUGAGGAGGAGAAAAACGGUUUGUUAGAAGCAAGCUUCAGAAAAACCUUCCGAGGUCUGAGUAAGUUGACCGACUUGUGUCGUGGUUGUAACUCCGACGACGACGGAGAGUGUGAUGUUUUCUCCGGGAAGCUUCAGGUCUGUCAUCGGGACUUAGCCGAGAUGAUCGUGAAGCUAGAGUCGACGAUGAAGGAGAUCGAGAGGAAGCUGAGACGCGUGCGUGGUAAAAGAGCGGUGGUCACGGCGGCGAUAAUCGCUCCGGUGAUCGCCCUAGUGACGGUGAGCAAAAUCGUCGCCGGAAUAUUCGGAUCCGUUCCGGUUGGGGAGGUGGCUACGUUCGCGGCUUCCAAGUGGAAGAAGUCGACGGCGACUCUGAAGCGGGAGAAGACGGCGGUGACGUCGAUGGAGAGGGCGACGAUGGUUGCUCUCAAGGAAGUGGAGAGGAUCAGUAGACUGGUGAGUAGGUUGGAGGCGGUGGAGAGGUCUAUUAGAGUAACGGCGGAUUUCGCCGUUAAGAAACGGUCCCCGGUGGCUGUAGCUAUGGGAGAGAUGGAGAGGGAAAGGAAGAGGUUGAAGUCAACGCUCGUUGACUUGGAUAGAGAGACCGGAAGGUGCGGUGGGUUUGUGGAGUUUGGACGUACGUUGGCUAAGGGCAAGAUCUUUGAGUUUCUGUCUUGUGGCGAGAAAAGCUCCAACUCCUAGUAGCUUGGUUUUGUUUUCUUAUAGUAUUCGAUUAUGUUCAUAGAUUUGUAUUCAAUCGGUAACAACUUUGUUGAAUUGUAAAUAUAUUUGCUUAUGGGCUUAGUUCACUUAAAUGCGAGAUAUGAAGAUGACAUCCACAUCCAGACAUUUAACCUCCAAAAGUUUGUUCCCUAGUUCUUACACAUGUGUGAUUGUUUCACAUAACUCAGGAUUGCUCUCGGCGUUCUUGAGAAAGUCAAUGAUGAUGAAUGCAGACUUGGCGGGCUAACGACCUUGACCAUUGGAUCGUCUGUUCUUAGCUUGAGCAGUUUGUCCCACACCAUGACAAAAACGUUCUUGUGAGCUAUAACAUCACCAAGGUAUCUUUUCACCUUCAGCAUUAGCGACUUCCUGAUGGUGUUUCGCUGUUUCUCUAGUUCUCUGAUUAUAACAUAAUUCUACAUAAAGCAAAGUGACACUGAGACGGCUCUGAACUUGAAACCUUAUUAACAAAAACUGUCAACAUAUAUUUGAACAUCAGAAGACUAUUUUAGCCAGCAACUAGACUAAUGACAUCAAUGAGGACAUAAAAAUCAAAAAAAUGUUAUUGUAAAGGGUUUCUAGUGAGUCAAAAGAAUACCAACUUUUCCUCAGUUCCUCUCUAUCACAAACACUUACAAAAGUGUUACAGUUUCUGAUAUUGAGUUCCACAACUUCUAGCUAUCAAAACAAAGGUCUUACCAUGUUGCUACUAGAGCAGGGAAUAAAGAGAAGACAAAAUCAGGGUUUAUCAAAACUCAAAAGGGAAACCAAUCUCUAAAGCGGAUAUUAAAUUGAAAGAUCAUUCCUAAUCAGCUCUAUCAGUCUGAGGGUUCAUCACGCAAAUCUUUACGUAAGUUGAAAAAAAAAGCUUAGGAAACAACAGUACCAACACACUAGGAAACACAAACACCUUACUCUGAUUUUAGAACGAAUGAUGUUGUGAAGAUGUUCUGUAGGAGAUCCUCAGAUCCAUUCAUAUACAAACAGAUCAAUCAUUUCUCUAAGCGGAGAGAAAAGACUGCUAGAAAACAAAAAAAGUAGCAGCAACAGUUUUGUUCAGCUUUGUUUCUAAUAGACGUAUAAAAAGUUACAUGAACUACAUGCAAGAGCUCUAAUCUAUCUAGGAAAAGACAACCGCAUCAACCAGUCAAAGUACAAAUGACAAGGAAAGAAAUAUUAUUCUUGUUGACCUUAUCGAAUCUCAUAUAUUGUAUAUUGAUAAAAACACGGAUCAAAAUGCUAUAAGAACAUAGUUUAUACCUUUAUAUUAAUAAGAAACAAAAUGCUUUUUUUUUUAUCACAAGAAACAAAACGAAAUGCAAACUAAACGACAAUAAUUUAUUCUUUUAAACGACAAUAACUUGACACUAACGAAAAUCAAAGCCAUUCCUCUUCAUCACAUUCCAGCAUACAUCCUCUAGAAAAGCCUUCCUUGAACCACUCCAUUACUUAAGCAAGAAGGAACUGGAAGCAGCUCAAGCGGUGGAACCCCAAGACUUUGUCUAACAAACUCGUGACUCAUGAGCUCCUCCGCAGUGGCUCUAGCCCCCGGAUUCCGCUCUCUACAUCUCCUCACAAAGUCCCUAGUCAUCUGCGAUAGAGUCCUCGGCACGUAAUCACUCCUUCCUCUUAUAGUAACCCCCAUCAUCUCCAUCACCAUGGUACCUAAGGACCAGAUAUCAACCGCCGACGAGAUAACUCCACGUGGCCUGACCGCCUCAGGAGCCAAAUACGCCGGAUUGUCCUCAAACAAAGACCCAUCCACUGGAUCAGGUCCAUUGGGUUCCUUAGCCGAACCGAAGUCACCAAGUUUGAGCUCGCAAAGAUCUUCAUGAGCAUAGCUUGGGAAGAUGAGUAUGUUCUCUGGCUUGAGAUCACAAUGGACAUAACCGUCUCGGUGAAGAUCCCUGAGCCCUUCAAGAACCUGGAAAAUGCAAUAACCGAUGACGUUCUCGGGUAAUGUCCCACCGGCUUUGGUCAGCAUGUCUUUGAGUGAACCAUGCGGUGCGACUUUGAUGUUAGGAGUUUUCAAGGCUCCUAAGACAAAUGUUGUAGUAUAAAUGAUUGUCGAACCAGUUCUGAGGGAUAUCAAAGCACUGAGAAUGCAAGUACUCACUUAAUCUAAGUGCAACCAAUGAUUUAGAAGGGUUUUAAACUAUGACUAAAACUAGAAAGCAAUAACAGAAUGAUACUUUCUUGACUAAAGGAAAAGAGAACUCAUGGGUAUAGGGAUUAGACCUUGGGUGAUCAAGUAUCGAACUAAGGAUGGCAGAUGAUCAAUCAAACUAUCAACCUUAAGCCUAGACACAAUUCUAAGCAAGCUCUAUGUCUAGAUGAAUGCUCAUUUGCUAACAUAUCUCAAACAUCAAAUGUCUUUGGUUGAAUAAUAUGAAAGCAAUCAUUACUAACAAGUCUAUUAGCUAUCUUAGUACCUUUAACAACAAAUGUCUUUGGCAAAGUAUACUAAAAGCCUAGGAGAGUUGUCUCGGGCAUUUCAUCGAACACCUUUCGGGUGAGAAAUGCCUAAGGAUCAACAACUGAGUGGCCAACUCAGAAGAUGCAUUAUGAUUACUCUACUAGCAAGGAAAUAUGAAUGAUCUACACUAAAACAUCCUAGCUCUAACCUAAUCACCCUUAAUCUCCCUAACCCAUGAAUUCAAAAGGUGAUUACUCACUAAUCUCCAUGAUUCCUCUUAAACCCAUAUUGGAUUUCAGAUUAAUCAUGUAAAGAAAUAGAUAAGAAAUCAACAAGAACACAAGAACAUAACAAUCAAAAUCCAAGAGAUGAACUUCUCAAGAGAGUUCUUGUGUCUUUCUCAAUAGAUCAAAAGAUAAAAGAUAAUCUGCCACCGGUGGCUACAAAAGAUGUUUAAAACAUAGGUUUUUCCAAGUGCAAAACGUCCAAAAUAAAUUGCAAAAAGGUCCUUAAGAAAUCAUGAUUUUCGGCAGCAAAAUAACGCGGAGCGACUUGCAGGUGUCGCUCCGGGAAGUCGCUCCAGGGCCGAUUUUUGGUGUGUCCGGGCGAGAGGUCGCGAGCGACUUUGGUGUGUCGCUCCAACGGGUCGCUCUGGAUCGGGAGCGACCUUGGUAGGUCGCUCUGAGAGGUCGCUCCAGGCUUCGCUUCGUGUCGUCUCGCCAUAGAGACGCGAGCGACCUCGGGGUGUCGCUUUGGGAGGUCGCUCCGAGAAGGGUGUGAGAUGCGAGCGACCUCGGUGCGUCGCUCUGGGCAAGUCGCUCUAGCUUCCUACGGGAUGAAUAUGGCGAGCGACUUCACGGGGUCGCUCUAGCUAGGUCGCUCUGAGAGGUGCUUUGGAGCGACCUCAUGACGUCGCUGCGGAACCUCGCUCCCAUGCUCUGCUCGUCCAAUGAUCACCUGUUUCACGUCCUUUAAGCUCCAAAUGCAUCCAAAUGUCCCCAAGAACUCCAUGUGGCACUCCAACACCUAAUGAGGACAAUGAAUGCAAAAUGCAACCUAGACAUGGCUAAAUCCUAAUCUAUAUGAUGAAAAUGCUAAUGGAUGAAUGGAUAAAACAAUGCAAAUAUGCAAGAUAUCAACUCCCCCAAACUUGUUCUUUUACUUGUCCACAAGUGAACUUUCUAGAACUCAUAGGGAGAGAGGUUGAAGGUGGGAGCACAUAGCCAAAAGAAACACAACUAGCACACUCUCUUAUUACACUCUAGCUUCUCUAGGCCUAUCUUAACUCUUUUUGUUCUUACACUCAUCAUCAAGCAUCCACACAUUCAAAUCAACCAACUCUCACAUUCAUUAAGCACAAAACAUCAGGUGAAUUCUUGCAAAUGGUCAGUUGGUCCAAGUCAUUUGGUUUGGUAAGGAAAGGCUUUUAUUCAAGUGAUUCAAGAGGUUCAAAACAUAUGAUCUUUAAGGUGGUUUACUCUCAAAACAAGUAGCCUUGACAUUGCACAUAAUAUAUCUAAGAAAGGGACCAACUCAUGCAUACAAUGCUCAAUCUCCAUUGUUCUACCCUUUUCCCAAACAUAUCAUUACACAAUCAUUCCCAAAUGUCAAACCCAACUCACAUCUCUCACCAAAAGAUCUUAAGAACUUUAACUCUUUCUUUUUGAAAUCUACAAGGGAUUUUUCUACAACCUCAUUUUUUUUUUUUUUUUUUUUUUUUUUUUUUUUUUUUUUUUUUUUUUUUUUUUUUUUUUUUUUUUUUUUUUUUUUUUUUUUUUUUUUUUUUUUUUUUUUUUUUUUUUUUUUUUUUUUUUUUUUUU